rnacentral:ncRNA from 1 species
CAAAGGCUUGGUCCUGACUUUUUUAUCAGCCAUAACUAAACUUACACAUGCAAGUAUCCGCACUCCUGUGAGAAUGCCCCUUCCGUUCCCUUUAUGGAGCAAGGAGCCGGUAUCAGGCACACUCUAAUAGUAGCCCACAACACCUUGCUUAGCCACACCCUCAAGGGACUUCAGCAGUGAUAAAUAUUAAGCAAUAAGUGAAAACUUGACUUAGCUACAGUUAAAAGGACCGGUAAAACCUCGUGCCAGCCACCGCGGUUAAACGAUAGGUCCAAGUUGAUAAACUCACGGCGUAAAGAGUGGUUAAAUUAAAACUUUCCGCUAAAGCCGAACAUUCUCAGGACUGUUAUACGUUUUUGAGAGCAAGAAGAUCAAUUACGAAAGUGGCUUUACAAUAUUGAAUCCACGAAAGCUGUGAAACAAACUGGGAUUAGAUACCCCACUAUGCACGGCCGUAAACUUAGGCAGUAAAAUACACUUUCUGCCCGCCAGGGUACUACAAGCACGAGCUUAAAACCCAAAGGACUUGGCGGUGCUUAAGAUCCCCCUAGAGGAGCCUGUUCUAGAACCGAUAACCCCCGUUAAACCUCACCCUCCCUUGUCACUCCCGCCUAUAUACCUCCGUCGUCAGCAUACCCUGUGAAGGCAUAAUAGUAGGCAGAAUUAGCAUAGCCCAAAACGUCAGGUCGAGGUGUAGCGAAUGGGAGGGGCUAGAAAUGGGCUACGCUUCCUAAUAUAGGAAAAACGGAUAGCACGUUGAAAUAUGUGUCAGAAGCUGGAUUUAGUAGUAAGCAGAAAACAGCAUGUUCUGCUGAAAAAGGCCCUAAAGCGCGCACACACCGCCCGUCACUCUCCCCGAGCUACUUCUAAUCUUUAAAUAAAACACAUUUUUAGCCAAGGGGAGGCAAGUCGUAACAUGGUAAGUGUACCGGAAGGUGCGCUUGGAAAAAU